rnacentral:rRNA from 1 species
UAGGGAAUCUUCGGCAAUGGGGGCAACCCUGACCGGCCAAGCCCGCGUGGUUAAAAAGGUUUUUCGGAUCUUAAAGCCCUGUUUUAAGAAAAAAAGGUGGGUGAGAGUGGAAAUUUCCCACGUUGACGUUAACUUACCAGAAAGGGCCGGCUAACUACGUGCCAGCAGCCGCGGUAAUACGUAGGUCCCGAGCGUUGUCCGGAUUUAUUGGGCGUAAAGCGAGCGCAGGCGGUUUAAUAAGUCUGAAGUUAAAGGCAGUGGCUUAACCAUUGUUCGCUUUGGAAACUGUUAAACUUGAGUGCAGAAGGGGAGAGUGGAAUUCCAUGUGUAGCGGUGAAAUGCGUAGAUAUAUGGAGGAACACCGGUGGCGAAAGCGGCUCUCUGGUCUGUAACUGACGCUGAGGCUCGAAAGCGUGGGGAGCAAACAGG